ACCAUUGAAAGCAGUGAGGGCAGGAAUCCAAGCAGGGCAACAACCUUGAGACAGGAUCAGAAGCCAUGGAGGAGUGCUGCUCACUGGCUAGGUUAGUCUGCUUUCUCUUAGAACUCAGAACCACCUGCCCAGGGGUGCACCACUCACAAUGGGCUGGGCUGUUCUUCGGUCAGUCACUAAUUAGGAAAAUGCUCUCUAGGCUUGCCUACAGUAGGAUUGUAUGGAAUUUCCCUCAACAGAGGCUCCCUCCUCUCUGAUGACUCUAGCUUGUGUCAUAAAACCAGCCAGCCCAAAAGGUAUACAAUCAGUUCCCUAGGGGUGGAGAGAGUUUCUGGCAUAAACUCAGUACCUGUGUGCCAGGUAGGGGCUUUCACAGACCCAGGGACUGACUAUGCCUGAACUCGGUUACUCUUGAUAUCAACCUAAGAAUGAGGAGUUAUUAUGUCAAUUUACUAGAUAGUGAAACUGAGGUACAAGCUACCAAUUAUAGCAAGUAGCGCUGUAAGAUUCCAGGGAGCCUUAGCUUACUGGGGACCCCCAGAGUGAACCACGUGGAACUGGGAUCGAUGCAAAAAGCAAGAGGAAUUUAUUAUUCCAGUGCACUGGGGAGACCCGAAGGAGAGGCGGCGACCCCCAGCAAUCAUUUGGAUGCAUUAAACUGGGAAAUGUUUGACCUUUUCUAACUCGGCAGUGCAGGUGGCUUCUCCGAGGCUGUUGACAGCCUUGCAGGUGUACUUGGCGUCAUCAUCCCCACAGACGUCGCUGAUGAUGAGCGAGCAGUUGCCGUCUUCGUCGUAGUCUAUUUGGAAGUGGCGGGACUCCCUGAUUGAUUGGUCAUCCUUGAACCAGACCACCUCAGGGUCUGGGUAUCCUGCAGCACAGGGAGAGACACACAGCACAGAACCGGUCAUCCAAUAUCCUUAUGAACUCAAUCAAGAGGCUCUAAAGGUACCCCUGUUGAUUAAAACACGAGGUUGGCUCCUAGGGUGCAUCUCCAUAUUUAUGGACAUAUGUUGCUAAGACUCGUUUCAGAAACCUCAAAUAGAAUAUUCUAAGUCUGUUUUUGUUUGAGAUGGGGUCUUGGUAUGAAGCCCAGGUUAGUUUCCAACUUUCAACCCCUCUGCCUCAGCCUUUUUGAGUGCUGAGAUUACAGGUAUGCACAAUGAAUUGUUCAUGACUCUUACAAUGCCACACUGUCAGAUGACGUAGAGCACUGCAGAAAUAUUGUCCAGGUUCUAACUGUACAACCAAGGCUAGACAUCUUCUUGAUGAAAGUGAAAUAUUUUGAAAUUAAACACAUCCAAGCUUAACAGGUACAAGGGAUCUUUUUUAAGAGUUGCACAAAUUCUAAAAUUAGGUUGUGAUAGUUGUAUGAUAUGAAUUUGUUAAAAGAGUUCAUUUGCAAACCUAAAAUAGAUUAGUUUAUAGUAUGCAAAUAUUAACUCCAUACACCGGGUAAUGGCUGUAUAAAAUGUCAGAGGACCUGGUAGGCAAUAUUGCUAAGAGAGAGUGAAAACCUAUCUUAGUUUGAUUCUUAAACAGGUAAUCUGCUUGUCUGUCUCUAGGGAUGGAUCCCAUUGGCUGCCCUUAUGUCUAGCCAUGUCUCUAUAUAUAUCGGUGUUAAAAACAUAUGGAGUAAAAGCACAUAAAUACAUGUGUAUUAUAUAUUUUAGGAUUGUGUGUGUGCACAUCCACCACCAGUUUUGCUUAUGUGUAUCUUUAAAUAUGUAAUGUAUUACAACUGACUUGUUCCUAAAUUUUGUAGAGGUAUUUUUAGAUGAGGAAAAAAAAACAACCCAAAACUGUAGCCCCUGGCAUAUAAAAUUAUACACAAAGCUCAAGAAUUC